rnacentral:rRNA from 1 species
CCAGACUCCUACGGGAGGCAGCAGUGGGGAAUAUUGCACAAUGGGGGAAACCCUGAUGCAGCGACGCCGCGUGAGUGAAGAAGUAUUUCGGUAUGUAAAGCUCUAUCAGCAGGGAAGAAAUACUGACCAUAGGGUCAGCAGACGGUACUUGACUAAGAAGCCCCGGCUAACUACGUGCCAGCAGCCGCGGUAAUACGUAGGGGGCAAGCGUUAUCCGGAUUUACUGGGUGUAAAGGGGGCGCAGACGGCAGCGCAAGCCAGGAGUGAGAGCCCGUGGCCCAACCACGGGACUGCUCUUGGAACUGCGCGGCUGGAGUGCAGGAGGGGCAGGCGGAAUUCCUGGUGUAGCGGUGAAAUGCGUAGAUAUCAGGAGGAACACCGGUGGCGA